GCACAAAUAAGUGGCCACCCGAUUUGUAACUCGUGAAGCAAUAACUUCCUCUCUGUUUCUUUUGCUAGUCGCUACAGGUUUGUCCUGAGUGACUCCUCUUCCGUUGAAAAGACAUUUUUAGUCCUAUUCCACUGAAAAGGCUUUGUCAUUUUUGACAGCUGUACCCGAAGGAGGUAACUGUAACUGCAGCCCGGCCGGCCCCACCUUGUUAAAAAAGGAGGACGGGGCGCGAGGGAGCGCUCUGGACGCUGGAGGAGAUGGGAGCGGUAGAUGGGAAGCCACUGCACUCAACUGGAUUCAACCCAACUGGGCACACGGAGCGAGGGAGCAGGCAGAUGUUUUCCAUUGACUCGAAGGGAGUGGAGGCAGGCCCUCGGACAUGCCAGGACACACAACAUGGAAGGGUCAUGACGACGGCUUCCUUUCCGCCCCUCGUUCUCAAACAACAUGGGCUCUUUGUUAGCGCUCAUGCAAAUAAAGCAAUAUUUAAAUCAAAA